CCUACGGGAGGCAGCAGUGAGGAAUAUUGGUCAAUGGGCGCAAGCCUGAACCAGCCAAGUCGCGUGAGGGAUGACGGUCCUAUGGAUUGUAAACCUCUUUUGUCGGGGAGCAAGGCCCGCCACGUGUGGCGGGAUGGAGCGUACCCGAAGAAAAAGCAUCGGCAAACUCCGUGCCAGCAGCCGCGGGAAUACGGGGGUUGCGGGCGUUAUCCGGUUUUAUUGGGUUAAAAGGAUGCGUAGGCGGAAGGUUAAGGCAGCGGGAAAAUGUCGGGGCUAAACACCGGCCUGCCGUUGAAACUGUUUUUCUUGAGUACUGGAGAGGCAGACGGAAUUCCUAGUGUAGCGGUGAAAUGCGUAGAUAUUAGGAGGAACACCAGUGGCGAAGGCGGUCUGCUGGACAGCAACUGACGCUGAGGCGCGAAAGCGUGGGGAGCAAACAGGAUUAGAUACCCUUGUAGUC
rnacentral:rRNA from 1 species